CUGGGUGUGGCGCAGUUUGGUAGCGCGCUUGUCUGGGGGGCAAGAGGCCGCUGGUUCAAGUCCAGUCACUCAGACCA
rnacentral:tRNA from 2 species